UAAGUUUUGAUUCUUUGUGAGUUUUGUUUGCUUCUUUCGUUUUAUUUGUCCCACACAUAUUCCACCACAUAAAAGUAGCGCUUGUCUUUACGUUUCUUCAAUUCCACACGGACGUAUGAGUGAAACGACUCUCUUUAUUCUUCUUUUGUUGACAACAUGUGGAACGA